AACUCCAAGGUCGUUGAUGUUGCU
rnacentral:siRNA from 1 species